AUUAACUUUACUGGUGACGGCGUAUUAUUUUCAUCAGCUUUGGGCUUCCGAAGUAUUGAAAACUGAUUUUCUUCCUGAGCGCAAAUGCAUAUUUGUACUUCUGCUGGCUACUUUCUUCUAUCAAAAUCCAUUACACCCAUUGGUCGUUAUUUUUGCUAUAUUUAGGUUCCCCCAAUCUUCGCUUGAUUUCAAAAUUUUUAACGAGUACUGCUUUUUCAGUGAUG